UACGGGAGGCAGCAGUGAGGAAUAUUGGUCAAUGGACGCAAGUCUGAACCAGCCACGUCGCGUGAAGGAAGACGCCUACGGGUUGUAAACUUCUUUUGUACAGGAAUAAAGUGCCUUACGUGUAAGGUUUUGCAUGUACUGUACGAAUAAGGAUCGGCUAACUCCGUGCCAGCAGCCGCGGUAAUACGGAGGAUCCGAGCGUUAUCCGGAUUUAUUGGGUUUAAAGGGUGCUCAGGCGGGGGAUUAAGUCGGCGGUGAAAUUUUGCAGCUCAACUGUAAAAGUGCCUUCGAAACUGGUCACCUUGAGUGUGGAUGAGGUAGGCGGAAUUUGUGGUGUAGCGGUGAAAUGCAUAGAUAUCACGAGGAACUCCGAUUGCGCAGGCAGCUUACUAAACCAUAACUGACGCUCAAGCACGAAGGCGUGGGGAUCAAACAGGAUUAGAUACCCUGGUAGUCCACGCAGUAAACGAUGAUUACUGGCUGUUUGCGAUAUAGUGUAAGCGGCUGAGCGAAAGCGUUAAGUAAUCCACCUGGGGAGUACGUUCGCAAGAAUGAAACUCAAAGGAAUUGACGG
rnacentral:rRNA from 1 species